CCAUAAUAAUAAAUUUUUUAGCUACCAUUACCUACACCCACAUGGCCUUGACAUCAUUUAUAAUUCAAAGACCUGGAAUGUGGUGUCUGAGUGAGACUUCGUUAGUCAGAAAAAUCCACCAGAUUUCUGUGAAAAUCCAGAAAGAAAAGGCAACACCAUGGCUCGCUGCACCAUUUCCACUCACGUUCUUUCUCGUGAGACCAGCUUCCUCUAGUGACAGAUUUCAGGGCGUUUUCAAAGGAUCCCAAUGCCCCAAGGGAAAAGAAGAGGCAGUAUCCAUUCUGAAGAUGACAUAAACCAUUGCUAACUGUGUCUUCAUCAUGUAUUUAUUUCAAGCUCAUGACACUGUCUCACGCUUAAUACGGUGUUUAACACAAUGGUCCUCAAGUUUUCCUGCAUAUUAGAAUCACCUAGGGAGUUUUAAAGCCUUCUGACGCCUGGGCUGCACCCCAGAGCAAUUAAAUUGGAAUAUCAGAGGAGCCAACAGGAAAAAAUGCACCAGGAGGGAAAGACAGGAAAGGAGGGACAAGAGAGGAAGGGGGAGCUCCACACAUCUGCAGCAGGAAAGGCUCGGAUUGCAGCACCCGCCCCUGCCUGCUGCACACGAGGCUGGGAGCUACCUUGGACUUUGUGGUCGUGGUCAUCCUGCAGGAUUGUGAUGGCAACUGUGUGGUUAUUUUCCAUCUCUAGGAGAGCAGCAUCAUGGCUGGCGGUGAGAUCUUCCACCUGGAGGAGAGUCGCAGUUACUGGUUAGACAGAGAGCUGCUUGGAGAACAGAAGUGGAAUUCCGUGAGUGGAAAAGGUCCGUGACUCAAAACAUCAAUGACAAGUCACAGCCUCGUGCCGAAGCAGGAGAGCUGGACUUUGGUGGUGAUGUGGCAGCCCUCGGAAUCACAGGGAGGUCACUGCCACAACCUGGCUCUUUGUAGGAGGGUCCAACUCCAGGCAGGGGAUCACUGUCUGAGGUACCUCUUUAGAGUCCUGAGUGUGGCUCCUGGACCAUCCCCUUCCCACUGCUUGUCCACCCGCUUGCACCGCUAUGAGCGAUGACGGCAAAGGAAAAGAAAAGGGUCCUCCCUACGAGGUGGUCUGUUUCCCAGUGGCAGGGGGAGCUACAGUACACAAGCACAGGUUCACAUUUAUGAAGCAGCCAAUAAGAAUUCCCAGCCUGAGAGGACCUUGGAACCAGAAGGAAUUGGAGGAGAUUUAAACAAGCUGACCCAAGGAAAGCACAAGAUCUUUCUAUGCAUUGAAGAUCACCAAAUCAAAGAUAAAAGUGCUCGACCAUUAUGGCCUAUGGCAAACUCGGGCUGGCUGAAGCAUCCUUCUCUUCCAUUUAGAACCCUGGUGAGGCCCCUUAGACCACCACUGGGCUGUCCUCCUCCCUCCUCACAGACAGAGUUCUGGGCUGGGCCAUGGAGGUGUCUGUCAACACGGCCAUCCGGUAGUAGUCCUCGUUCUAUAGAAAACCAGCUGUUCCCUGUGACACGACUCCAUUCCUGCAGCUGCCUGCUAUUCAGCUGGGCUGACGGACAGCAGAGCACAGGGUUGGAAGACCACCCUCUCAGACAGGUUUACCAAGAAGCUCACUGAGAGGUGACACAAAUGGCCAAGGAACAUGAAAAGACGGUCAGUGCCCUUGCAAAUGGAAGCAGGCAAUCAUUUUUCACCUACAAGGCUGAUAAAGAUGAAAUGUUCUGAUAAUACAGGAAGAGUAUAAGGAAACUGUCACUCGAUGGACUCCAGGUGAAAUAUAACUGAUACAGCUGCCUUGGAGGGAAAAGGUAUCUUUCAAAAUUUAAAUGACAGGAAUGGCAGCAUUAUGGGUGGGAGAUAAAGAAUCUGGGUUUCUUUCAGGGGUGAUGAAAAUGUUCUAAAACGGAUUGUGGUGACAGUUUUCCAGAACUCGGAAUAUACUGAAAACCACCACAUUGUAUACUUUAAAUGGGUGGGUUGUAUGGUAUGUGAAUUAUAUCUCAAUAAAAUUUUUACCAAAAGA
rnacentral:antisense_RNA from 1 species